rnacentral:rRNA from 1 species
CCUACGGGCUGCACCAGUAGGGAAUCUUCGGCAAUGGACGAAAGUCUGACCGAGCAACGCCGCGUGAGUGAAGAAGGUUUUCGGAUCGUAAAACUCUGUUGUUAGAGAAGAACAAGUAGGAGAGUAACUGCUCUUACCUUGACGGUAUCUAACCAGAAAGCCGCGGCUAACUACGUGCCAGCAGCCGCGGUAAUACGUAGGUGGCAAGCGUUGUCCGGAUAUAUUGGGCGUAAAGCGAGCGCAGGCGGUCUUUUAAGUCUGAUGUGAAAGCCCUCGGCUCAGCCGAGGAAGGUCAUUGGAAACUGGAGGACUUGAGUGCAGAAGAGGAGAGUGGAAUUCCAUGUGUAGCGGUGAAAUGCGUAGAUAUAUGGAGGAACACCAGUGGUGAAGGCGACUCUCUGGUCUGUGACUGACGCUGAGGCUCGAAAGCGUGGGGAGCAAACAGGAUUAGAUACCCUCGUAGUC